rnacentral:rRNA from 1 species
UACGUAGGUGGCAAGCGUUGUCCGGAUUUACUGGGCGUAAAGAGCGCGCAGGCGGUCGAUUAAGUCGAAUGUGAAAGCCCCCGGCUCAACUGGGGAGGGUCAUUCGAUACUGAUCGACUUGAAGGCAGGAGAGAGAAGUGGAAUUCCCGGUGUAGCGGUGAAAUGCGUAGAUAUCGGAAGGAACAUCAGUGGCGAAAGCGACUUCCUGGACCAGUACCGACGUUCAGGCACGAAAGCGUGGGGAGCAAACAGG